UGGGGAAUUGUUCGCAAUGGGCGCAAGCCUGACGACGCAACGCCGCGUGGAGGAUGAAGAUCUUCGGGUCGUAAACUCCUUUCGAUCGAGACGAAUUCCUCCGGGGUGAACAAUCCCGGAGGUUGACGGUACCGAGAGAAGAAGCCCCGGCUAACUCCGUGCCAGCAGCCGCGGUAAUACGGGGGGGGCAAGCGUUGUUCGGAAUUACUGGGCGUAAAGGGCUCGUAGGUGGCCAACUAAGUCAGACGUGAAAUCCCUCGGCUUAACCGGGGAACUGCGUCUGAUACUGGUUGGCUUGAGUUUGGGAGAGGGAUGCGGAAUUCCAGGUGUAGCGGUGAAAUGCGUAGAUAUCUGGAGGAACACCGGUGGCGAAGGCGGCAUCCUGGACCAACACUGACGCUGAGGAGCGAAAGCCAGGGGAGCAAACGGG
rnacentral:rRNA from 1 species